rnacentral:rRNA from 1 species
GCUUGUCUCAAAGAUUAAGCCAUGCAUGUCUCAGUAUAAGCUUGUGCAUAGUGAAACUGCGAACGGCUCAUUAUAACAGUUAUAAUUUGUUUGGUGUUCAAGUUUACAUGGGUAACUGUGGCAAUUCUAGAGCUAAUACAUGCGCAAAUACCCAACUGCUUGUCGGACGGGUAGCAUUUAUUAGAUUGAAACCAAUGCAGUCUUCGGGCUGGUAUUGUGUUGAGUCAUAAUAACUGUGCGGAUCGCGUUUUACGCGAUAAAUCGAUUGAGUUUCUGCCCUAUCAGCUUUGGAUGGUAGGAUAUGGGCCUACCAUGGCAUUAACGGGUAACGGGGAAUUAGGGUUUGAUUCCGGAGAGGGAGCCUUAGAAACGGCUACCACAUCCAAGGAAGGCAGCAGG